AGCUCCGGUGGCCUAGUGAUCAGAGCGUCUGCCUCGGAUGUGGGAAGUCGUGGGUUCUAUCCCCAGCCGAGUCA